UUCUGACCGUAAACGAUGCCAACUAGCGAUCCGCCGGUGGCUCUAAGGCCCUGGUGGGGAGCUUCCCGGAAACGAAAGUCUUCCGGUUCCGGGGGAAGUAUGGUUGCAAAGCUGAAACUUAAAGGAAUUGACGGAAGGGCACCACCAGGAGUGGAGCCUGCGGCUUAAUUUGACUCAACACGGGGAAACUCACCCGGCCCGGACACCGUGAGGAUUGACAGAUUGAUAGCUUUUUCAUGAUUCGGUGGUUGGUGGUGCAUGGCCGUUCUUAGUUCGUGGAUCGAUUUGUCUGGUUUAUUCCGAUAACGAGCGAGACUCCAGCCUGCUAACUAGUGCGAGCAUUACCGCUGUGCUCGUCUCACUUCUUAGAGGGAUUGGCUGCGUCUAGCGGCACGAAACGGAGCAAUAACAGGUCUGUGAUGCCCUUAGAUGUCCGGGGCUGCACGCGCGCUACACUGGCAAAGGCAGCGUGCUUGUCCGCCUCCGAAAGGAGCCGGUAAACCCUUGAAAAUUUGCCGUGAUUGGGAUCGGAAAUUGCAAUUAUUUUCCGUGAACGAGGAAUUCCUAGUAAGUGCGAGUCAUCAGCUCGCGUUG
rnacentral:rRNA from 1 species